AUGCUUAAUUGCGAUUUUGGGUAUUGUUUUACGAGAUUAGCGAAAUCAGUCCUUCUUCUAUUUCAAUUUUUCCCAAUUUGGUCUCUCAGUUGAAUUUUCCCCAAUCUUUGUUCUUUGUUAUUAUCUUCAAUUGUUGUACUUCUUGUUCGAUUCUCGUUAUUGUUAGAAGCUUCUUUUUCCGUCCUCCAUGGCUUCGGUAUGUUCGAUUUUUCUUCGUUUUGUUUGAAUCUUCUUUUUCUUCUUCCAUGACUUCUCUGUUGUUUCAGUUACAUGGUACAAAACUUCCAAUUUGUUUGAUUGAAUUGAUGAGCAGAUGACAGAACUAUCAAAUGAAGUUAUAUUUUGUCUCUUUUGAGAAUGAUUGAUGAUUUGAAGAAUAAAGGACAAUGUGUCAAGAAACUAUGAUGAUGAACGGAAGUUGAAGUUAAUUAAGGACAAUGUGUCUUGGGUGUUGACUAUUGUACUUUUGAAAGGAUCAAUGUAUUAUUGAAGUAAUUGAAAGGGUUGUUUGUAUUAAAAUUAGGUAUGUAGUGUCUAAUGGGGUAAUUUAGGUGGGUUAAGUCCAUUGCAAUGUAACUGUGUAUUAAAAUUUAGGGAAAUUUUAACGAGUGCUUCCGGGGUACUCUUUAAACAUCCAAAGUGGUAAGUUUUUAUGAAAGUUUGU
rnacentral:lncRNA from 1 species